GUCCACGCUGUAAACGAUGGGCACUAGGCGUCGGGGGGAGCGACCCUCCCGGUGCCGUCGCUAACGCAAUAAGUGCCCCGCCUGGGGAGUACGGCCGCAAGGUUGAAACUCAAAGGAAUUGACGGGGGCCCGCACAAGCGGUGGAGCAUGUGGUUUAAUUCGAUGCAACGCGAAGAACCUUACCUGGGCUUGACAUGCACGUGAAAGCCGGUGGAAACACCGGACCUCCUUCGGGACACGUGCACAGGUGCUGCAUGGCUGUCGU
rnacentral:rRNA from 1 species